GGUUUAUUGGUCUAAGGGGAAGGACGCCGAAUGGUCUUCGGAAACGUGAGUUCGAGUCUCACAUAGGCCGA
rnacentral:tRNA from 1 species